CACGGGGGGAGCAAGCGUUGUUCGGAAUCACUGGGCGUAAAGGGCGUGUAGGCGGUCAAGUAAGUGGAAUGUGAAAGCCCCCGGCUUACCCGGGGAUCUGCAUCCCAAACUGCUUGGCUUGAGUACGGGAGAGGAUAGGGGAAUUCCUGGUGUAGCGGUGAAAUGCGCAGAUAUCAGGAGGAACACCGGUGGCGAAGGCGGGUCUCUGGGCCGAUACUGACGCUGAGGAGCGAAAGCGUGGGGAGCGAACAGG
rnacentral:rRNA from 1 species